CCUACGGGAGGCAGCAGUAGGGAAUAUUGCUCAAUGGGCGAAACCCUGAAGCAGCAACGCCGCGUGGAGGAUGAAGGUCUUCGGAUUGUAAACUCCUUUUGUUAGAGAAGAUAAUGACGGUAUCUAACGAAUAAGCACCGGCUAACUCCGUGCCAGCAGCCGCGGUAAUACGGAGGGUGCAAGCGUUACGCGGAAUCACUGGGCGUAAAGAGCGCGUAGGCGGGAUAGCAAGUCAGAUGUGAAAUCCUAUGGCUUAACCAUAGAACUGCAUUUGAAACUGUUAUUCUAGAGUGUGGGAGAGGUAGGUGGAAUGCUUGGUGUAGGGGUAAAAUCCGUAGAGAUCACGAGGAAUACUCAUUGCGAAGGCGACCUGCUAGAACAUAACUGACGCUGAUGCGCGAAAGCGUGGGGAGCAAACAGGAUUAGAUACCCUAGUAGUC
rnacentral:rRNA from 1 species